GUGCCAGCAGCCGCGGUAAUACGUAGGUGGCAAGCGUUGUCCGGAUUUACUGGGCGUAAAGGGUGUGCAGGCGGACAUUUAAGUGAGAUGUGAAAGACCCGGGCUUAACUUGGGCAGUGCAUUUCAAACUGGAUGUCUGGAGUGCAGGAGAGGAGAACGGAAUUCCUAGUGUAGCGGUGAAAUGCGUAGGGAUUAGGAAGAACACCAGGGGCGAAGGCGGUUUUCUGGACUGUAACUGACGCUGAGGCACGAAAGCGUGGGUAGCAAACAGGAUUAGAUACCCUGGUAGUCCACGCCGUAAACGAUGAGUACUAGGUGUAGGAGGUAUCGACCCCUUCUGUGCCGCAGUAAACACAAUAAGUACUCCGCCUGGGAAGUACGGUCGCAAGAUUAAAACUCAAAUGAAUUGGCGG
rnacentral:rRNA from 1 species